rnacentral:lncRNA from 1 species
GAACAAUUGAAGGUCUUUCCACCAGUAAAUAUCUAUUUUGAUAUUAAAAUAUUAAAAAUCAGUCUAAAAUGUCAAUUCCUAUGGCUUUAUGAUGUAUAGAUAUGAAUUUUAAGCAAAGGUCAUAAUCUAGAACGUCAAAUUUACCUAUGACCUUGACCUCAAUUUCAAGGUCACAAACUGAGGAUCUCAAAUCAAAAGACCCUAGGUCUCUAAUAUGUAUGGUAAAUAAGUUAUAUGACUUUACGCAUAAUUUUAGAUAUGAUAGGGGCUAAAACUCACGUUUAUUGACUACGCAC